CGGUCCUCGUAGUGACCUGCGGAGGGAUCAUUACCGAGAGAGGGUGCCUCGCGCGCCCGACCUCCCAACCCUUUGUCGACCGUACUGCGUUGCCUCUGGGUGCCGGCGCCCGCGUCGCCCCAAGAGGACCCAACCGAAACCCUGCGUCUUUGCGUCGGAGUCACUUUGAUAAAUCAAUCAAAACUUUCAACAACGGAUCUCUUGGUUCUGGCAUCGAUGAAGAACGCAGCGAAAUGCGAUAAGUAAUGUGAAUUGCAGAAUUCAGUGAAUCAUCGAAUCUUUGAACGCACAUUGCGCCCUCUGGUAUUCCGGGGGGCAUGCCCGUUCGAGCGUCAUUUCACCACUCAAGCCUGGCUUGGUAUGAGCGGCGGGGACCACCCCCGCGCCCCGAAUUCGUCGGCUGGACGGACGGAAUCUCAGCGUUGUGAUCUCUCAAUUCGCUCACGAGGACGCCCGGACGCGCCGUUAAAAUUGAAUCAGGUUGACCUCGGAUCGGGUAGGGAUACCCGCUGAACUUAAGCAUAUCAAAAGGUGGGAGGAAGUCGGCGUGAGUGGAGGCUCGAGAAGUUGCGGGAGGAAAACACCAAGGGGGGGGACGAAAAAAGAAGGAAUCAGGGAGGGUUCCGGGGAGGGACAGGGCGGAAAACUGGAAACACGCGACGCCGAAUUUAGCGUUGUAACGGGAAAGGAUGUGGGCGCCAGGGAGUAGAUCUCGCGCCGAAUCUAUACGCGUGAUGCGUGGGUGUAUCGAGCGAAA
rnacentral:rRNA from 1 species